AAGAGGAGUUGGAAUGCUCUUGCCUGUCCACAUCUCUUGCCUUGCAAAUGAUUGAUAUCACUGUGGUUUCAUACAGUGAAAUAAUCACUUAUGGAGGAAAACAGUCUCUGUCUAAAGAAACACAGUCUGAACCCAUUGGGGUGUAAACAAUACUGUGUUUGUCAUCAAGUAUGACUGGGAAAAGGUCAAGUUUUGCCAAGAUUUACUGUAAACUCUUAGGGAGCAGGAUGGGUUUGGAUGUGCAGUUUGCAAGCUGGACGAGGCUUGGAAACUGAGUGGAAGCCACCCUGGUGGUGCGCAGGUGAGGUGCAGAAUGCUGAUGAAGGUUUUCUCUCGAUGAGAAACAUUUCUGUUGAAGCAAGAUUUUGAUCUCUUGAGGAAAGAAGUACAUCUUGUACUAAUUUCAAUUAACAGCUAAGUUACUGUUAGUUAAAGGCAGAAUAUAAUUACUGAAAGAUUUCCCUGUGGGAGAAGGGAAAGUUUUGCAAUGGAGAGACUUGAUGUUCUUCAAAGCUAUAUUACCUUUAUUGUGCUUUAUGUUUCUGCUUGCAUGAUGAAUAGUGACACUUAACUUUGCAGAUUUGUUCUCAUCAUGCAAAGCAAUAGCGACAGAACUAAAACCCUUUUCGUUAAUGCAGAAACUUCUCACAACCUGUUGCAGUAUGUAGAAGCACCUUCAUAGGACACUGCUAUAUAUUGCUGUCACUGGCUCGCUUUCUAAACAUUUGGAAGGUGAUUUCACCAUACCUCUCCUGAUCAAGCCUCCUCUGGCCAAGGGGCAUUGGCAGACUUGAAGACUACAACUUCCUUUUCACUUCAAAGGAGCCUUUCAGAAAGCAUUGACUACAUCUAACCAGAUGAAGGGAGAAGUGAGAGAACUCUCCACAUUGUUAUGAAUUCCCAGCAAGUCAGUGGAGACUCUGAAUUUGUGCCAAGGCCCAAGUUGUACUUGCAUUCAGUGAAGAGACCCAGAAGCACAGAUAGCUCGUGUAAUAAUCUUGUUUCUGAUAGUGAUUCAUGGCAUGUAUGUAGACGAGUCAUUUAGUCUCUUAAGAUUUGUGUUCACACAGAAUAAGGGAAAUAUGUUGUAUGUAUAUAUACAAAUACAUGUUUGGAUGAAAUGAUGCUGAGAGUUUUUGGUUCUUGGAUUUGUUGCUUUUAUGGAAGGAUAGGACUUGAAGUAUCUUUUGUGAUCUGGCUUAUAUUUAUCAG
rnacentral:lncRNA from 1 species